ACUCAGACUAAUUAUUUUUUGUGUAAACAAUCAUAUGUUCAUAUCACAAUGUACUGUCAAAAUAGGUAUAUCAAACAUGUUGUGGUAAAAAGUUGAUAUUCAUGCUGCAGAGCUUACUGCAGGAUAUUUCAACUAGAAUGAAAGAGAUGGUAGUGACUCAUUGCAAGGAUUCUAUCAAGGCAUUAUGCUAUUUUGUGUUUCACGUCUUGAAGUGAAGGAUACAAAGCAACCUAAGUGCACCUCAGGAAAUUGCAACUUAAAGCUUUAAAUUUACAUGCCUAUCUUCCCUGGUAACAUCUGUAAAACCUGCACGAUGAAUCUUAAUCCUCAAUGGAACCACACUUAAAUACUAAUGCAGCAAAUCUAAGAAAAGUUUACAAAUUACUGUGCAAGUAGAUAAUGGCAAAUUCACACAUUUUUACAUUAAUUUCAUGAUUACUGGAUACAAUGCUUAUGCAAAUGCAGGGAUUGAGUGGAGCAUGUAGAAAGAACAUUUGAGGUUGGAGGUGAGAACGCAUUGUAAAGAUAUGAUGCAACAGCUUACAAUCAAGUCCUUCUAAAUGUCAGGCCCAAUGGCAUCAACAAGAAUGGCCAACCAAAAUAGAGGAUGUAUUGGAUGACAUACCUAUGGUUAUCUGAUGAUCUAUUACAAGAAAACAAUUUUAAGCUAUUCAAGAUGUUUGUGAAGAAAAUGCAUGCAGACGAGGUAACCAGCAUUUAUACAAAGUCAUAAAACAAUCUGUAUGUUAAUUUUCAUUCACCUUCAUCAUUCAUAUUUAUUUUCCGGCUUACUGUCCAGAUCCUAAGAAGUACAACCAUGAAAUAGGUCCAUUGGAGCAGUCAAAGCCAAAGAUUCCAAUUGAGAUUCUUCCAGAAGCAACCAAGGCAAUGUCACCCUUCCCAUAGGAUAAAGAGACAGAUAUGAGAGUUGAUGGUGCUGCUACUGGUCACCCAGGUCUACUUGCUAGUUUGGUAAAAAAGAUCAAAUCCCUAUUCUUCAAGUGAAUUGCAGCCAUUGUGGAAGAGAAUGUUAAUGUUAACAACUUGCCCUUCAAGAGUUGUGUUACAACAAUUUGAGAUAUCUACUGUUUGAAUAAAAGAAUCUGCUUUAUCCCUAUCUCACUCAAAUGUACAAUUGCCUUCUGAUUAAUAUUCUGUUGUUCACUCACCAGUAAUCACCACAUGAACAAAAUCCAUCUCUAAAGUGGUGGAACCUACGGAUGUCCCGCAUAAUAAUUUCUCGACACAUGAGCUUAGAGAUCAAUUUUAUUACAGUGUGACAAUCCCCGCACACGCGUAGGUUCUUAGUGAUUCUUAUAAUGGUGCCUGGACUUGUAUUAAUAAGAACAUAGGCAAUUGCCAAUCUUUCACUGUGAUCCCAAAGCAUCUUCUCUUUUAAUUCUUCAUCAACAUUAUAUAACACUGAACUUGUAUCAGGCUUGUAUCCAACUUCCUUGAGUAGCUGAUUCAAUUGCUUUAACUUGGUAUAUAUAUUUUCUAUUUGUGGAUGUGACUUAUCUCCAACUAAGAACCGAUGAACCAUUUUAUCUAACUCAACAAAGCUGCAGCCUGGGGGUUUAAUUAACCCCUUUUCUCUUAUCAACAUUCUAACCCUUUCCACAUCAUCCCAUCUUUUCUCAGCAGCGUAAAUAUUGGAAAGGCAUAUGUAUGCACCCACCUGUUUUGCAUUUAGAUCAAAAAAAUUUUUUGCGGAGAUCUCUGCUAUCUCAACAUUUCGAUGUAGUCGGCAAGCAUUCAGGAGUGCUGCCCAUAUAUCACUUGAGGGAUUAAUUUCCAUGGUCUUUAUAAGCUUGUAUGCUUCAUCUAAAUGCCCCGCUCGACCAAGAAGAUCCACCAAACACGAAUAGUGAGCAAGUACAAGCUUUACAUCAUAAUCUUUUGUUAUUGUGUAGAAGAUUUCUUUACCUUCAGCAACCAAUCCUGCAUGACUGCAAGCUGACAAAACUGAAGUCAGAACACCUUCAUCUGGAAUAAUAUUGUUCUUGAUCAUUUCAUGAAAAAGAGAGACAGCUUCUCUCCCCAUCCCAUGAAUGCCAUAUCCAGAAAUCAUGACACUCCAACAAAUUAAAUUCUUUUCAGGAGUCUCGUUAAAAACACUAUGUGCACAAGCCAAAUUUCCACAUUUAGCAUACAUGUCUAUAAGAGCAUUUUGCAGAACAAUUCUCCCAUUGAGAUGAUCUUUACUCACUAUAUAGGAAUGAAUAUCAGUGCCAUGUGAUAGUUCUCCAGAUUUCCUGCAAGCAGAGAUUAAUCCUAGCAUUGUUACUGCAUCUGGCUCUAGCUUCCUACAUUUCAUCAAAUUGAAGAGCCUUAAAGCUUCCCUGUUAAGUCCACUUUCAACAUACCCACGUAUCAUCGAGUUCCAAGAUGCAACAUUCUUAUCAGGUAGCUCAUCAAAAACUUUCCUGGCAAACUCAAUCAGACCACAUUUGCAGUACAUAUUGACGAGCACAGUCCCAAGAGAAACUGAUAUCUCUUUUCCACUUGCUAUUAAAUGUCCAUGAGCCACCUUCCCCAGGUCGAGGUCUCCACCAUUAGCACAAGCCAAAAUAAAGUUAACGAAUGAUACUCUAUCAUACCCAAUGUUGCUAUAUCUCAUUUCCCUGAAUAAAGAGAAAGCUUUCCCACAAUUAUUACUCCUAGCAUAUCCUGCAACCAUGGUAUUCCAUGAAACCAAGUCCUUCUCAAUCAUUGAAUCAAACAGUCUCCUUGCAUCGUCUACAUAUCCAUAUUUGCAAUAGAAAUCAAUAAGCGUAUUACAGACCUGAAUUAUCACAUCGAAGCCUGUCUUGCAACAGUAAGAAUGAAGCAAUUUCCCAACCUCGUAUCCCCCAUUUUCAACGCACCCAGAAAUCAAAACCAUCAAAG
rnacentral:misc_RNA from 1 species